GGUCCUCUGGCGCAACGGCAGCGCGUUCGACUCCAGUUUACUGGUUAGCAAUCGAAAGGUUAUCCGUUCAAAUCGGGUGGGGAUCA